rnacentral:lncRNA from 1 species
AAGAGACCCAUACUGCAAGGCCACAUUGUGGACUAUGUAACUUCAGCUAAUUUCUUGGAAAUCAAUCAAAGCAUAUGGACUAUAUUUUAAUUCUACAGACAUUGCGUUAGGCAGAACAGCUACCAACACCCAAUCCCUGAAAUUUGUGAUUAUGUUUUGAUACAUGGCAAAAGGAACUAUGCAGAUGUAAUUAAGGUUAAGAACUUUAAAAUAGGAAGAUUAAAUCCAAGGAGUUCUUCAAAGUAAAGAACUACUACAUGCAGAAGGUGAGAAACUCCAGUGUUGGAACCUGGCCUUCAAUGUUGUCAUGCCA